AGGGCUACAAAAUAGAGCUGCUAACUCUAUAAUAAUGGAUUCAUUUAGCCCUU
rnacentral:tRNA from 1 species